AAAUUGAAGAGUUUGAUCAUGGCUCAGAUUGAACGCUGGCGGCAGGCCUAACACAUGCAAGUCGAGCGGAAACGAGUURUCUGAACCUUCGGGGGACGAUAACGGCGUCGAGCGGCGGACGGGUGAGUAAUGCCUAGGAAAUUGCCCUGAUGUGGGGGAUAACCAUUGGAAACGAUGGCUAAUACCGCAUGAUGCCUACGGGCCAAAGAGGGGGACCUUCKGGCCUCUCGCGUCAGGAUAUGCC
rnacentral:rRNA from 1 species